GGUGAGGUUCAUGAGCGGUGAGGCACGGAUCCCUCUGGAGUCGGAUAUACACUACUCACAAGAAGUUAGGGAUAUUAAGCUUUAGAGUGACAUUUCAGGACGAGGCUAAAAUGCAUUGAAAGAUUUUGACAUCAGGAAACCAAGACGACACCUAACAAUGGGGCAACAGUACCUUGCCAUUGUGAUGCUUCAGACAGGAUGUUCUCAGACGGAAGUGGCCACCGAGCUUAUAGUGUAACAGAGUAUCAGCAGUUUCUAACAGAGAUACCGAGAGACUGGAAGAGUCACAGAAAGAUGUAGAAGUGGACGUCCUUUGGCCCCAUCUCAUGCUGAUGACCGCUACGUUGUGAACAAUGCCCAGAGAAACCGGAUGACAGCCACUCAACUCCAGGGACAUUUAAGGAAGAUGACCCGCAAGAGUACCUGACUAUACCACCAGGCACAGGUGCCAUUGUAUUGCGUGGACCAAGGAGCAUUUACGCCAGACGAGGG